GAUGAACGCUAGCUACAGGCUUAACACAUGCAAGUCGGGGGGUAACGAGAGGAAAGCUUGCUUUCCUUGUCGACGACCGGCGCACGGGUGAGUAACGCGUAUCCAACCUGCCCCCAACUAGGGAAUAACCUUGCGAAAGUAAGACUAAUACCCUAUAAUUUCCUCAGAUGACAUCUGACGAGGAAUAAAGAUUUAUCGGUUGUGGAUGGGGAUGCGUCUGAUUAGCUUGUUGGCGGGGUAACGGCCCACCAAGGCAACGAUCAGUAGGGGUUUUGAGAGGAAGGUCCCCCACAUUGGAACUGAGACACGGUCCAAACUCCUACGGGAGGCAGCAGUGAGGAAUAUUGGUCAAUGGGCGGAAGCCUGAACCAGCCAAGUAGCGUGCAGGAUGACGGCCCUAUGGGUUGUAAACUGCUUUUAUACAGGAAUAAAGUUAGCCACGUGUGGUUAUUUGUAGGUACUGUAUGAAUAAGGACCGGCUAAUUCCGUGCCAGCCGCCGCAGUAA
rnacentral:rRNA from 1 species